AUUGAACGCUGGCGGCAGGCUUAACACAUGCAAGUCGAGCGGGCGAGGUUGCUUCGGUAACUGAGCUAGCGGCGGACGGGUGAGUAAUGCUUAGGAAUUUGCCUAUUAGUGGGGGACAACAUUCCGAAAGGGAUGCUAAUACCGCAUACGUCCUACGGGAGAAAGCAGGGGAUCAUUUGAACUUGCGCUAAUAGAUGAGCCUAAGUCGGAUUAGCUAGUUGGUGGGGUAAAGGCCUACCAAGGCGACGAUCUGUAGCGGGUCUGAGAGGAUGAUCCGCCACACUGGGACUGAGACACGGCCCAGACUCCUACGGGAGGCAGCAGUGGGGAAUAUUGGACAAUGGGGGGAACCCUGAUCCAGCCAUGCCGCGUGUGUGAAGAAGGCCUUUUGGUUGUAAAGCACUUUAAGUGGGGAGGAGGCUUACCUGGUUAAUACCUGGGCUAAGUGGACAUUACCCACAGAAUAAGCACCGGCUAACUCUGUGCCAGCAGCCGCGGUAA
rnacentral:rRNA from 1 species